rnacentral:misc_RNA from 1 species
AAGUCGUAACAAGGUUUCCGUAGGUGAACCUGCGGAAGGAUCAUUAACACGUAUCCAAACGUUAACCCCCCUGUGAACCUUUAGUGUGCUCGCACGCUUUGUCAGAGCGUGGCAAUCCCUAGUAAAUCAUCGCCGAACAGUUUUCGAUUCAGGGACGUCUGCAAGGAGCGUGCAUGUUGUGCGAAGCAAGUGGCCUGGCAUCCCCAAGCAGUUAGUGUCUGAAAGUGUCAUUAACUGUGUAAGGAUGACGCAGUCACGAUCGUUGGAGGCCCACACGGCCGACGACCGGGCCUCUGGGCGCAAGCCCCCCUAUAACAAACGCUGCUAAUCGCGGCCGCGAUAAUACGCAGUCGACCAAAAACCGAACAACUGUUAACAAUGGAUAUCUUGGUUCUC